GACGAACGCUGGCGGCGUGCCUAACACAUGCAAGUCGAACGAAUCAGAUAUUCAACACUGAGUAUUUAGACGAAGGAAAAAAGUUAGCCAGCGUCAAGGACGAGCGAUAGAGAGUCCUUUACGCGUUCAAAAAGUGUGCUAACACAUGAUAGUCUGAAUGUUGAGUGUUGAAUAUCUGAUUAGUGGCGGACGGGUGAGUAACGCGUGGGAAACCUGCCCUAUACAGGGGGAUAGCCUCGGGAAACUGGGAUUAAUACCCCAUAAAACUCUAGUAUCGCAUGAUACAUGAGCCAAAAGAUUUAUCGGUAUAGGAUGGUCCCGCGUCUGAUUAGCUAGUUGGUGAGGUAACGGCUCACCAAGGCGACGAUCAGUAGCCGGCCUGAGAGGGUGAACGGCCACACUGGAACUGAGACACGGUCCAGACUACCUACGGGAGGCAGCAGUGGGGAAUAUUGCACAAUGGGGAAACCUGAUGCAGCGACGCCG
rnacentral:rRNA from 1 species